GUAGGUGAACCUGCGGAAGGAUCAUUAACACGUAUUUUACUGAACUAUGUUAGCCAGGAAAGCUAGUUUUUUGGCCUUUACCGGCUUUGAAAAACUUGGAUUUGUACACUCCGGUUUUUUUCUGCGAGUUUCCCUCGGGUGUACAUGUCACUUUAUCCGGUUCUCGUAACUGGAUUGGUUUUUUCCUGCACUGUUACUAUCGGGAGUAGAUUUUGAACUCCGUGGAUAAAGCUGUGUUUCUUUAUUGGGCUCUCGGACAUCGGACAUUUGAACGCAUUACAGCCCUUAAGGAUCGUAGCCGGUAACACGGUAGGACUCUGCUCUCAGUCUCAUAAACACGCGAUUUUUAUCCAUGAACAAAACAGGGCUGAUCUCUUUAUUUUUUCUCCGAAAGGACGAAAAAGUAUAAACAAUCGAGAACAACUCUUAGCAACGGAUAUCUUGGUUCUG
rnacentral:misc_RNA from 1 species